AACGAACGCUGGCGGCAUGCCUAACACAUGCAAGUCGAACGAGACCUUCGGGUCUAGUGGCGCACGGGUGCGUAACGCGUGGGAACCUGCCCUUAGGGUCGGCAUAACUCCCCGAAAGGGGUGCUAAUACCGGAUAAUGUCUUCGGACCAAAGAUUUAUCGACUUUGGAUGGGCACGCGUUGGAUUAGCUAGUUGGUAGGGUAAAAGCCUACCAAGGCGACGAUCCAUAGCUGGUUUGAGAGGAUGAUCAGCCACACUGGGACUGAGACACGGCCCAGACUCCUACGGGAGGCAGCAGUGGGGAAUAUUGGACAAUGGGCGAAAGCCUGAUCCAGCAAUGCCGCGUGAGUGAUGAAGGCCUUAGGGUUGUAAAGCUCUUUUAACCGGGAUGAUAAUGACAGUACCGGGAGAAUAAGCUCCGGCUAACUCCGUG
rnacentral:rRNA from 1 species